rnacentral:lncRNA from 1 species
AUAUUUGAACUCGAUUGGAGGAAGGAUAGGGUCGAUCAUGUGGUAAUGUCUAACUGCUCGGAUCAGUUCAAAUACUAUAAAAUUAACUAGUCAAAAUCAAUUAUGAUUUAGAUAAUUCAUCAAGGAUUAAUGGUGACUAAAUUUUAGAAGUACUUGACAAGGACAACAUGCCACUGAGUUAGCGGGAUAGUUCAGAGCCUGAACUUAAAUUGAUAGUGAAGGG